CCUACGGGAGGCAGCAGUGGGGAAUAUUGGACAAUGGAGGAGACUCUGAUCCAGCAAUUCUGUGUGCACGAAGACGGUUUUCGGAUUGUAAAGUGCUUUCAGCAGGGAAGAAGAAAGUGACGGUACCUGCAGAAGAAGCGACGGCUAAAUACGUGCCAGCAGCCGCGGUAAUACGUAUGUCGCGAGCGUUAUCCGGAAUUAUUGGGCAUAAAGGGCAUCUAGGCGGAUAUACAAGUCAGGGGUGAAAACUUAGGGCUCAACUCAAAGCUUGCCUUUGAAACUGUAUAUCUAGAGUGCUGGAGAGGUGGACGGAACUACACGAGUAGAGGUGAAAUUCGUAGAUAUGUGUAGGAAUGCCGAUGAUGAAGAUAGUCCACUGGACAGCAACUGACGCUGAAGUGCGAAAGCUAGGGGAGCAAACAGGAUUAGAUACCCCAGUAGUC
rnacentral:rRNA from 1 species